rnacentral:lncRNA from 1 species
UGGUUGCAAUGGCUCUGCUUCUUCAAUCCAUGGUGCCUCCGACAGCAUUAGCUGCUCGUAACAAUGUUAUGGAAUACAAUCCAUUGGCAAGCGUAUUCUCGAGGGAAGGCCCUGGCUGCAUCGCAAAAGGCGGGUUUUGCUUGUUUGACCUAACCAGUUGCUGUAGGCCAUGCGGAUGCCUUGCAGGGUGGUGCUAUAACAUUGAUCAUGAUUGCAAUGAGUACACAUAAUGGUCGCUACUGAGUUAAAAGAAAACAGUUCUGAGUAAAAAAAUGACAUGGGAUUCGAUUAUAAAUGUUCUAUAUAUAACAUAUGUAUUUGAAUAAAGAAUCUCGUGUUAUGUCCCUGUUUAAUUGAGCUGUGCCGUUGUUGUAAGAGUUGGUGUUUUCCGUCUUCUCGUUGGUGUGUUGGUACUGUGUGUACCCUUGUUAUUGGCAUGUCUAAAAAUAAAUAUAUAUGUCAAUCAACUAAGUUUUAUGAGUAUUUACCUGCCUCUCUUAUCUAAUUCAUGGAAGGAUCACAUUUUAUAAAUUGAGCGAGGAGAUGUUAUUGUCGAGACUUGAAUCCUGGACUUUAAAUAUUAACACACAGCUCUUAACUACUUGCUCAAUUACGGUAAAUAUCAUUAAUAAAUACUAAUAUCAACGCGGAUGUUGGAAAUCACCACAGUUGGGUUGGGUGAAAAUCAAUAUGGAUGGAACGGUUGGGCGAAUGACUGAUAUAGCGACAGUAGGAGGAGUCAUCAGAGAUCAUAAUGUGAAGUGGCUGUGAGGCUGUUAUAGCAAUCUUGGUUCGUGUUCUGUGCUUCAUGCUGAGUUAUGGAGUGGUUGGGAGGGUUUCUUUCUGGCAUUGAAUUGCGGGUUUAGCAGGGUGGUUUCAGAAAUGGAUAAUGUAAAAAUAUUAUGUUCUCAGGAGAAAGCUAAGCACAAUGCUAUGGUCAGGAGAAUAAAGACUAUACCGGUUAGCCAUGGGAAGUGAAGAUACAGCAUGCUGUUGGUGAGGGUAAUUUUAUUCCAAAUGGUCUUGCAAACCAGCGGCUGAAUUCGAAUCCAGAAACACUUGUACUUAUCAGUGCACUAGACGAGAUCUUGAGAGAAUUACAUGAUGAAGCAUGCCAAAUUGGGUAUGGCAGGGUGUGAGUGUCUUAGUUGUAACUUUGUAUAGCUUUUUAUUUUACUCACGAAUUAAAAAAUAAUAUAAAUUCACGUAACUAAAUAAUAUUGCUUAAAGUGGUAUGAAGUAUGGAAUACUGGGGAAUUAUUAUACUUCUGUUUUUUGAAUUAUAUUUUAAAAUUCAUAUAUGUUUGUGGGAUCAAUUGGAUAUAUAAAAAGGACUGAUGUAAUUAUGCUUUCACUUUCAUUAUUAAGAUUAUCAAUUUAGUUUGUUAGUUGACAUAUAUGUUUAUUAAUAAAGUUAGCUUUUGAAAAAUAAAUAAAGUUAGCAAGAUUGAUAUACCAUCCUACCUAGGGAUGGCAACAGGGUAGGGUGGGACGAAUUUUUGCUUGUCCCUACUCAAACAAGAUGGACCGACCCAACUUAAAUUUUAUUUAAUUAUUUUGUUUUUUAUUUUAAAAAUUAAUUUUUUUGAGUUUACACAUAUAUAUAAUUAUAUGGCAGUGACAUUUUUGCAAAUAUUUAGGGACGGGUUGAGGGGAUUUACCUCAAACCCAAUCCCAACCCCUUAGCAUUUGAAUUUAUUGAAAUGCUUGGAGCAGAAGUCCAUUUAUUAUUGUUACAGUAUGCUUUUUUUUUGUGCAAAGCUUGCUCUCGGAUUGCAAAGAAAAUCAAUUGGAUUUUGAUAGUAAGCUUUACCUAGUAUCUUUAUUUUUGUAAUUCCAGCUUUAUGGAUUUGAAUUUUAUGGUAAAAGUACUAGGAAAGCAUUUCGGCUCUUUCUAUUGAAAAAAUAAAUUAAUUAAUCUUUAUAUAUUUUGAAACGUGUAAAUUAAUUCAUCCAUUAAAUUUUAUGACGUGGAACGUUAAUUUAAAUGGUUGAUUACUAGUCUAAUCCCUGAUCAUAGCUAAAAUAUCAUUCUUUUUAAAAAUUCUUAACAAUAAUUCUAAAAAAUUAAAAAAAUCUUAAAAAUAAAUAUAACUUAUUAAAAAUUAUGUUAAAAUAUUUUAAAAAUAAAAAUUAUAAAUAAAAAAUUCUAGAAAACAUAACUUAUAUCUAUUUAAAAAAAAUUUGUCAAACUUUCAAGUCGAAACUUGAAACCAUCAUAUUUUUUUACAAGACUUUCUUCCCUGUUGUAAAAAAACCCAAAAAAUCAAAAAGGUUUUUCAUGCUUGAUUGAAGUCAUAAAGAAAUAAAUAAAAACUUGAUUGAACCCAAGAAAAAUCAUCUAAAAGUUUUGACUACUCAUUUUCAAAUUUCUCCUACUUUCAUAAAUAUUCAUUUAAUCUUCGUCCCCUGUGCUUCCAACUAAAAUGUAUAUAAAAAUUUAUUUAAUGUUUACUUUAUUCUACAUUAGUGAAUACUCAUUUUUGCAUCUCCUAAUGAUGUAUAAUCAUAUUACAAAAUUUUGAUUACUCAUUUUCACAUCCCCUUAGCUAUUACAAACUUUCCUAUUUAAAAAAUCUUAUUGUUUAAUACCCUAGAAGCCUUAAUCUUUAAGCUACUGGGCUUUGAAUUUUUAAUAUAAAUGUGUGGGUUUUAUCUUUAAGCUUUAAUCUUAUUCGAAAAUUAGCAAAAGAUAAAUACAUUAAAAGCACAAAUUUAACUUGCUAUCAUACCCUGAACCUAAACCCAUAAUUUAAUAGAAGACCCAACUUUGAACCGAUCUGACUCGACUAUUUUUCUAAUUUCACCCUAUAUGACCUACAUCGAACUUAAUUAUUCGAAAAUAAAAUUAGACCCAAACGGAUCGGGUCAACACAAAACCCGUCAAAUUCACCAGGACGAAGACAAGGGGCAAGUAAUGCCCAAAAACAUAUAUAUAUAUAUAAUUUAGAUCUUUUAACAUUUAGGAAAUUUUAAAUUAAAAAAAAUACAUUUUAACAUUUUAAUCUCAAAUAUUUAUGAUUCAUCUCUAUAUCUUUUUAAAAGUAUUUUUCUGGGUUCACCCUUACUCCAACCAUUCGUACUGCUUAGUAACAUAUAAACGUAACAAAUUAUUUAUCUCUCCCAUCAGUACUACAUGCACAUAAGUGCAUUCACUAUUCCAUGCAAUAUCUCAUUUGUCACAUGCAUUACGAACCUGGUCCCCAUCACUACAUGCACAUAAAUGCAUUCAUUAUUCCAUGCAAUAUCUCAUAUGUCACAGGCAUUACGAACCUGGACCAUCAUCUUUUCUAUAUAAAGGACCCUCCACCUACGAACAUUCCACACAAAACACAUAAUCAUGGAAUCCUUCAAGAAGAUCGUUUUUCUCAUCGUUGCUUUAUCUAUAGUUCUUCAAGCCACGGUGCCUCCAAACUGCGUUAGUCCUCUCGUAACGAGGUUAUGUCCUCUGCUGCUGUAUCGAAAGUGGCUAACGAUUCCAACGGUUUGGCUAAGGUUUUCGAGAAGGUAGGCCCUGGCUGCAAACCUAAAGGUUCGUUUUGCUUGUUUGACCUAACUAGUUGCUGUAGGCCUUGCGGAUGCCUUGCAGGGUGGUGCAAUAACAUUGAUCAUGAUUUCAAUUAAUGAGUACACAUAAUGGUCGUUACUGAGUCAAAAAAAAAAAACACAGCUCUGAGUCAAAAAACGACAUGGGAUUCGAUUAUAAAUGUUCUAUAUAUAACAUAUGUAUUUGAAUAAAGAAUCUCGCGUUAUGUCCCUGUUUGGUUGUGCUGUGCUAUUUGUUGUGAGAGUUGGUGUUUUCCGUGUUCUCUUUGGUGUGUUGGUAGCAUUUUUCUCAAAAACAAAUUAAGUGCCUUUCACAAUUUUAAAUAUAAAAUAUUUAUUUUAUAUUAUAAAAAAUUAAAAUUAAUUAUUCGAUUCGAUUCAGUUUUCUAACUUGAAAGCCAAAACGAGUGAGUAGUAGCCUACUAGAGUAGAUCGAAUUAGCAAAUCGACACUAGUUUAUACGUGCUUCCUUUUGAACCGCUUCGAAAUCAGCUCCAAAAAACUGCUAGAGUCUCGAGCAACUUAAAAACCUCAAAAAAAAUUAUAGAGCUGAAAAGCACAAAAAAUGCACCGUUUCAGAGGCAGGUGAGCUGAAAAACCAGCAGCUGAAAGGGACAAACCCGUCACGUGCAGCUCUCCAAUAGCAGGUCAUGGAGUUCAGUGAAGAAAAACCACAGCAGGCAUAAGCAGCACAAAACCAGACCCAAACAGCUCAAUAAACAGAAUUGAAACAGUUGAUUAGACCCAAACCAGCUCGAAUCAGUAGCAUCGUUUUCUAUAUAAUGGGCCUCCUCCACCUACAAGCUAUUCCACACACAAAAAACAUAAUCAUGGAGCGGUGCAAGAAGUUCGCUUUUCUGAUGGUUGCAAUGGCUCUGCUUCUUCAAUCCAUGGUGCCUCCGACAGCAUUAGCUGCUCGUAACAAUGUUAUGGAAUACAAUCCAUUGGCAAGCUUAUUCUCGAGGGAAGGCCCUGGCUGCAUCGCAAAAGGCGGGUUUUGCUUGUUUGACCUAACCAGUUGCUGUAGGCCAUGCGGAUGCCUUGCAGGGUGGUGCUAUAACAUUGAUCAUAAUUGCAAUGAGUACACAUAAUGGUCGCUACUGAGUUAAAAAAAACAGUUCUGAGUCAAAAAAUGACAUGGGAUUCGAUUAUAAAUGUUCUAUAUAUAACAUAUGUUUUUGAAUAAAGAAUCUCGUGUUAUGUCCCUGUUUAAUUGAGCUGUGCCAUUGUUGUAAGAGUUGGUGUUUUCCGUCUUCUCGUUGGUGUGUUGGUACUGUGUGUACCCUUGUUAUUGGCAUGUCUAAGAAUAAAUAUAUAUGUCAAUCAACUAAGUUUUAUGAGUAUUUACCUGCCUGUUUUAUCUAAUUCAUGGACGGAUCACAUUUUAUAAAUUGAGCGAGGAGAUGUUAUUGUCGAGACUUGAAUCCUG